AUUUUUCCCUCUCCUGCUUACACCCCUGCACAGAUCUCCUUCCCCUUUGGUCAGCAGGUAGAGGAGUCCUUCCCCUACCUGCUGAUACCAAGCGCAUGCCUCUACAUUAAGCAGGUACGGAGAAAAAGGGGAAAAUAUCAGCAGGUAAAAAUCUCAUAACUCAAUUUUUGCCACCAUUUUCAACUUGACAUCUGCUUACAUUUUUCCCUCUCCUGCUUACACCCCUGCACCGAUCCCCUUCCCCUUUGGUCAGCAGGUAGAGGAGUCCUUCCCCUACCUGCUGACACCAAGCGCAUGCCUCUACAUUAAGCAGGUACGGAGAAAAAGGGGAAAAUAUCAGCAGGUAAAAAUCUCAUAACUCAAUUUUUACCACCAUUUUCAACUCGACAUCUGCUUACAUUUUCCCCUCCCCUGCUUACACCCCUGCACGGAUCCCCUUCCCCUUUGUACAGCAGGUAGAGGAGUCCUUCCCCUACCUGCUGAUACCAAGCGCAUGACUCUACAUUAAGCAGGUACGGAGAAAAAGGGGGAAAUAUCAGCAGGUAAAAAUCUCAUAACUCAAUUUUUACCACCAUUUUCAACUUGACAUCUGCUUACAUUUUCCCCUCCCCUGCUUACACCCCUGCACGGAUCCCCUUCCCCUUUGUACAGCAGCUAGA